ensembl:lncRNA
CUGGGAAACCACAAGGAGUAACAGUAGUAAGCAGGGUCUGGAGACUCGUAGCUCCUCCCCAAACACAAAAGGAUUGACCAACCGCAACCUAAGUCCCUCCCCUCAGAUGCAAAGGCACACCUCGUCCCAGAGUUCCAUGGAGUCCUCGGAAUCUGGCCAGUUGUCAGGGGAGUCAACGGAGAGGAAUAGGGAAGAGUACGCCAUGAUGGCCGAUCUACCAAAGGUCAAGCCUGUCCUCCAAAGGGAGCGGCUUCGUCAUGUGGGACAGACUCCAAAUCUACCCUCAGGGAGACAGGAGCUCUUCAAACCAGCAAGCCACUCCCUCUCCAAGCAUCCCUCCAGAGAGUGGCUAGAUGACUCAGGGGACCUAGAGAGAAACCACAUAGAAUGGCAUAAUGGCAGCAGCGGUAGACUGUCUCGAGCACACUCGUCCACCUCUUUGCAAACGCAGAGGCCCCACAGCCCCACUAUAGAGGAGGAGGCCAGUCCAUGGAGGGCACAACAUAGCUCUUCCUUGGAACAAAUGCA